rnacentral:pre_miRNA from 1 species
AUGAGAGUCAAACAUAGGCAGUAGCAACUGAUAGUGAAACAUAUAUGUUUGACUAUCAGUUGCUACUGCCUAUGUUUGACUAUCAGU